rnacentral:lncRNA from 1 species
GUGAUCUGAGGCGACCCCUGAGGAAGAAUUGUUUGACCAUCCCAAAGGGAUCAAGGCUCACAGGUUGAGAACCGCUGCUCCAGCCCCUUCGGCUGUUUUUAUUGCAGGCAUUGAAUGAGCUUCGGCUUGGAUGUCAGACUCCCGUUCCACUUCAUAUGUCAGCAUGUCAGUCAUUCGAGGAGUGUCUACAAGCAAGUGACAGAAGGAGGUUCAGCCCUAACUUAUCUAACCCUCUUCAGGCUGAAGACAAAAAGAUAAGACUAAGGAGGUAGAAUAAAGCAUUAGUCACAGACAGCUCCUGCUUAGGCUCUGAAACCUGUAAGGCAUCUGGAGAAUGCUGGAGUCUGGCUUCCUUGAACUGAGAACAUCAAAGGCAAUGAGAAAGACUGAGAGGUACC